rnacentral:rRNA from 1 species
UUCGCCCUUAGAGUUUGAUCCUGGCUCAGGAUGAACGCUGGCGGCGUGCUUAACACAUGCAAGUCGAGCGAAGCACUUAAGCUUAAUUCUUCGGAUGAAGACUUUUGUGACUGAGCGGCGGACGGGUGAGUAACGCGUGAGGAACCUGCCUCAAAGAGGGGGACAACAGUUGGAAACGACUGCUAAUACCGCAUAAGCCCACGGCUCGGCAUCGAGCAGAGGGAAAAGGAGCAAUCCGCUUUGAGAUGGCCUCGCGUCCGAUUAGCUAGUUGGUGAGGUAAUGGCCCACCAAGGCGACGAUCGGUAGCCGGACUGAGAGGUUGAACGGCCACAUUGGGACUGAGACACGGCCCAGACUCCUACGGGAGGCAGCAGUGGGGAAUAUUGCACAAUGGGGGAAACCCUGAUGCAGCGACGCCGCGUGGAGGAAGAAGGUCUUCGGAUUGUAAACUCCUGUUGUUGGGGAAGAUAAUGACGGUACCCAACAAGGAAGUGACGGCUAACUACGUGCCAGCAGCCGCGGUAAAACGUAGGUCACAAGCGUUGUCCGGAAUUACUGGGUGUAAAGGGAGCGCAGGCGGGAAGACAAGUUGGAAGUGAAAUCUAUGGGCUCAACCCAUAAACUGCUUUCAAAACUGUUUUUCUUGAGUAGUGCAGAGGUAGGCGGAAUUCCCGGUGUAGCGGUGGAAUGCGUAGAUAUCGGGAGGAACACCAGUGGCGAAGGCGGCCUACUGGGCACCAACUGACGCUGAGGCUCGAAAGUGUGGGUAGCAAACAGGAUUAGAUACCCUGGUAGUCCACACCGUAAACGAUGAUUACUAGGUGUUGGAGGAUUGACCCCUUCAGUGCCGCAGUUAACACAAUAAGUAAUCCACCUGGGGAGUACGACCGCAAGGUUGAAACUCAAAGGAAUUGACGGGGGCCCGCACAAGCAGUGGAGUAUGUGGUUUAAUUCGACGCAACGCGAAGAACCUUACCAAGUCUUGACAUCCUGCGACGGUGCUGGAAACAGUACUUUCCUUCGGGACGCAGAGACAGGUGGUGCAUGGUUGUCGUCAGCUCGUGUCGUGAGAUGUUGGGUUAAGUCCCGCAACGAGCGCAACCCUUAUGGUCAGUUACUACGCAAGAGGACUCUGGCCAGACUGCCGUUGACAAAACGGAGGAAGGUGGGGAUGACGUCAAAUCAUCAUGCCCUUUAUGACUUGGGCUACACACGUACUACAAUGGCGUUAAACAAAGAGAAGCAAGACCGCGAGGUGGAGCAAAACUCAGAAACAACGUCCCAGUUCGGACUGCAGGCUGCAACUCGCCUGCACGAAGUCGGAAUUGCUAGUAAUCGUGGAUCAGCAUGCCACGGUGAAUACGUUCCCGGGCCUUGCACUCACCGCCCGUCA